rnacentral:lncRNA from 1 species
AACUUGAGUGAAUACAGUGACAGCAUCCUGGAGAUCAUGUCAAGGAAUCUGCAGAGCAAAUGCAGGGAGAGGCAUCGCUUAGCACUUAGAGCGCUGCUUGUUCUCAUUGAGGAUUCCUCAAUGGCUGAACGACUUUGGAGCCUGACUGAAAGUCUUGUGGAGCUCCUGCAGGACACAGAUGGAGAAACGGUUGCAAUGACACUCACUUCACUCAGCUUUAUAGUCUUUGACAAGGACAUGCUGAUACCUAGCCCCACCAUCCUGCAGCUGCUUGAGGUGCUUCUGCGACUCUUUGACCAUGAUAAUAGCCAUGUGCAGCUCAUAUCCAUGAUCCUCUUUCAAGAAAUGCAAGAUUUUUUAGUGGAAGAGGGUAAAAAGCCCUUCAAGAUGCAUGUGCGCCAGAGCCUGCUGCCUCUCUUCUUCCACUGCCACGACGAGAACCAGCAGGUGGCAGAGGCCUCUCAGAGAGCACUGCUUAGCAUGGCCAAGUUACUGAAGAGGAGAGAACUUGCAAAUCCCGUGAAGAGCAAGCAACUGUGGAAGUUUGCUGAGGUCCUGGUAAGGAUGGCCUGGAAGGCCCAGCCUCAGCCUGGAGAAGCCCCCUGUCCCCGGCGCUCGGUGUAUGGGGCUGGCAGCUGGGCCCCUGCCCGGUGCCGCAGCUGGGGCCGCACG